UAUCUACCAUCAACAUUGACGUGAGGUC
rnacentral:sRNA from 1 species